GACGAACGCUGGCGGCGUGCUUAACACAUGCAAGUCGAGCGGUAAGGCCUCUUCGGGGGUACACGAGCGGCGAACGGGUGAGUAACACGUUGGUGACCUUCCCUCAGCUCUGGGAUAAGCCUGGGAAACUGGGUCUAAUACCGGAUAUGACCUUUCCUCGCAUGGGGUUUGGUGGAAAGUUUUUUCGGCUGGGGAUGGGCCUGCGGCCUAUCAGCUUGUUGGUGGGGUGAUGGCCUACCAAGGCGACGACGGGUAGCCGGCCUGAGAGGGCGACCGGCCACACUGGGACUGAGACACGGCCCAGACUCCUACGGGAGGCAGCAGUGGGGAAUAUUGCGCAAUGGGCGGAAGCCUGACGCAGCGACGCCGCGUGGGGGAUGACGGCCUUCGGGUUGUAAACCUCUUUCGACCCCGACGAAUUUGGACGGUAGGGGUAGAAGAAGCACCGGCCAACUACGUG
rnacentral:rRNA from 1 species